rnacentral:tRNA from 1 species
GAAGGUAUAGCUCAGUGGUGGAGUGCUUGCUUAGCAUGCACAAGGUCCAGGGUUCAAUCCCAGUAUCUCCA